rnacentral:rRNA from 1 species
CUGUCUAGUCUGUACUGACGCUGAGGCUCGAAAGCAUGGGUAGCGAACAGGAUUAGAUACCUGGUAGUCCAUGCCGUAAACGAUGAGUGCUAAGUGUUGGAGGGUUUCCCCUUUCAGUGCUGCAGCUAACGCAUUAAGCACUCCGCCUGGGGAGUACGACCGCAAGGUUGAAACUCAAAGGAAUUGACGGGGGCCCGCACAAGCGGUGGAGCAUGUGGUUUAAUUCGAAGCUACGCGAAGAACCUUACCAGGUCUUGACAUCUUCUGCCAAUCUUAGAGAUAAGACGUUCCCUUCGGGGACAGAAUGACAGGUGGUGCAUGGUUGUCGUCAGCUCGUGUCGUGAGAUGUUGGGUUAAGUCCCGCAACGAGCGCAACCCUUAUUAUCAGUUGCCAGCAUUCAGUUGGGCACUCUGGUGAGACUGCCGGUGACAAACCGGAGGAAGGUGGGGAUGACGUCAAAUCAUCAUGCCCCUUAUGACCUGGGCUACACACGUGCUACAAUGGACGGUACAACGAGUCGCGAAGUCGUGAGGCUAAGCUAAUCUCUUAAAGCCGUUCUCAGUUCGGAUUGUAGGCUGCAACUCGCCUACAUGAAGUUGGAAUCGCUAGUAAUCGCGGAUCAGCAUGCCGCGGUGAAUACGUUCCCGGGCCUUGUACACACCGCCCGUCACACCAUGAGAGUUCGUAACACCCAAAGCCGGUGAGAUAACCUUCGGGAGUCAGCCGUCUAAGGUGGGACAGAUGAUUAGGGUGAAGUCGUAACAAGGUAACCA